CUCCACGGCAACCGGGGCAAGCGAUCGCCGUUAGGACUGUACGCUGGGGACUCGGUGCCCCAGGGCGGCCGCCGUUUUAAUUCCAGAGAGCGCGACGGACGGGCUGGUGUUAAAUUGGCUUCAAGAGUAAGGAGAAGAUUGCAUGGAGAAUAAAAUACAGUCCACCUCAUCGCUGGGCCUGGGCCAGGAGAAGACACCUUCCGCUGAAGUUGUUAAAAGAAGGACUGCACCUGAUCUCUUUGCAAAAGGCCACCAGAGCAAAUACCAGCCACAAAAUCACUAUCCAAGGACCUCAGAAAGUGCCUGAGCAUGGGCUACAGCUAAUGAGAUUUGUGCUGCAUUCAGUGUAACAGCCUGAUGAUGAUGUUUAUUU